rnacentral:rRNA from 1 species
UACGUAGGGUCCGAGCGUUGUCCGGAGUUACUGGGCGUAAAGCGCGCGCAGGCGGCGGUGCUGGCCCGGGCGUGAAAGCCCCCGGCUCAACCGGGGAGGGUCGUCGGGGACCGCACGCUUGAGGGCGGUAGGGGCUGGUGGAAUGCCUGGUGUAGUGGUGAAAUGCGUAGAGAUCAGGCGGAACACCCGUGGCGAAGGCGGCCAGCUGGGCCGUCCCUGACGCUGAGGCGCGAAGGCGUGGGGAGCGAACGGGG